UCCUUCGGGAGCGAUUAAAGUGGCGCACGGGUGAGUAACGCGUAGACAAUCUGCCCUUCAGUCUGGGACAACUUUUCGAAAGGAGAGCUAAUACCGGAUAACAAUGUUUAACCUAAGUUAAGUAUUUGAAAGCUUUAUGUGCUGAAGGAGGGGUCUGCGUCCCAUUAGCUAGUUGGUAAGGUAAAGGCUUACCAAGGCGACGAUGGGUAGCGGGUUUGAGAGGACGAUCCGCCACACUGGAACUGAGACACGGUCCAGACUCCUACGGGAGGCAGCAGUGGGGAAUAUUGCACAAUGGAGGCAACUCUGAUGCAGCAAUGUCGCGUGAGUGAAGAAGGCCCUUGGGUCGUAAAGCUCUUUUAUGGGGGAAGAUGAUGACGGUACCCCAAGAAUAAGCACCGGCUAACUAUGUGCCAGCAGCCGCGGUAAUACAUAGGGUGCGAGCGUUGUUCGGAAUUACUGGGCGUAAAGGGCGCGCAGGCGGAAUAGUAAGUCGGAGGUGAAAGCCCGGGGCUCAACCCCGGAGGGUCUUUCGAAACUGCUAAUCUAGAGAGGGUCAGGGGCCGGCAGAAUUCCUGGUGUAGAGGUGAAAUUCGUAGAUAUCAGGAGGAAUACCGGUGGCGAAGGCGGCCGGCUGGGGCCACUCUGACGCUGAGGCGCGAAAGCGUGGGGAGCAAACAGGAUUAGAUACCCUGGUAGUCCACGCCGUAAACGAUGAGCACUGGACGUCCGGAGGGUUCGACCCUUCUGGGUGUUUCAGCUAACGCAUUAAGUGCUCCGCCUGGGGAGUA
rnacentral:rRNA from 1 species